AUGAAUGGAGGAAGUGAGAGUGAAGGGUUGAAGAUGAAGAUGGAGAGAGAAAGAAGAAUGAAGGUGAGUGAUGAAAAAUCUGGUAAAAAAAGAAUCCUCCUCCCUAGAUUGAAGGGGAAAGCAACUUUAUAUGGUUGGUUAAAGUGUGAAGAGUUAGUUACAGAUACAGAAAUCAGAGCCAUUAGAUCAGGAGUUAGUUGGAAGCAAUGGAGGGUGAGGAUCGAAUCACUUGAAGGGCUUUUUGGAUUAAUGUGUUUGGAUUGCUUCUGA